CCUCUCCCAAGCCGCCGCCACUCCUUCUCCCUCCCCCUUUCUCUCUCUUCUCCUUCUCCCUCCCCCUUUCUCUACCCCGAGCCCCCACCCGACCGCGCCUGGAACACCGCCCAGGCGCCCCGCCUCUGCAUCCGCCCGCCCUAGGCCGCAGAAGGGAGCAUUCGCCGCCCCACCCUCCGUUUCCCGUCGCCUCGCCCCCGCGCUCCGUCAGCCGCCCCUCUCCGAUGGAGCGUGUAAAAAACUCGAUCAGCAUUGGAGGAACUGGCAAUGGCAUCAUAACCAAGAAGAAAAUUAGGCUUCCAAAUUUGAGAUGAAGACGAUGACUCAAACUUGGGCCAUGGAGGUGUUCACCAACAGCCAAAUUUGAUUCAGGACAAGACUCUGGUAAGGAAAAGAUUGAUAUCAAGCAACAACACUCGUGUCAAGGCAGAGUCUGGCACCUGUUAACGAUGAUGAGUUUAGUGCAACCUCAUAUCAUGCUUUGUAUCUGUAACUGGUAGAAACAAAGUUGUUGCAACAUCAUCCAUUGCCGAUGAUUUGUCAGAGGUUGACAUGCCAUCAAAACGCAGGAGGCUGUUGAAUCAAGACACAAGACUAUCUAGAGCAGAAUACCUUGAUGACAACAACUCAUGUGUUACUGGUAUAUCAGCAGAAGGCAAACUUCUUGUGGAUAAGAAAAAAACUUCAAGCUGGAUUGAUGUUGAUGUGGUGCUUUUGUGACUAAUCAUCUUUAGAGCUUUUGUGAAUGAUCUAGCUAGCUAUCUGUAAAUGAUCUAGUUGUGAAUGAUAUUAUAAUUGUGAUGCUUUUGUGAAUAUAUAAUUGUGGUGCUAUUGUGUUUA